AGAACGAACGCUGGCGGCAGGCCUAACACAUGCAAGUCGAACGCCGUAGCAAUACGGAGUGGCAGACGGGUGAGUAACGCGUGGGAACAUACCCUUUGGUUCGGAAUAACUCAGGGAAACUUGAGCUAAUACCGGAUACGCCUCCGAGCGAUCGGGGGGAAAGAUUGAUUUGCCGAAGGAUUGGCCCGCGUCCGAUUAGCUGGUUGGUGGGGUAAUGGCUCACCAAGGCGACGAUCGGUAGCUGGUCUGAGAGGAUGAUCAGCCACAUUGGGACUGAGACACGGCCCAAACUCCUACGGGAGGCAGCAGUGGGGAAUAUUGGACAAUGGGCGCAAGCCUGAUCCAGCCAUGCCGCGUGAGUGAUGAAGGCCCUAGGGUUGUAAAGCUCUUUCGUCAGGGACGAUAAUGACGGUACCUGAAGAAGAAGCCCGGCUAACUCGUGCCAGCAGCCGC
rnacentral:rRNA from 1 species